UCCCCGACCCGAUGAAGUAAGAGAACCUGCUCCAGCUGGGGACCGAGUCGGAGUCAAAGGCACUGACAAAGGGGAGGAUGGUACCGCCUCUAUUGUCCCGGAAGUUGCAAAAUCAAAUCUACUUAACAAUCGUCUUCAGGGACUGACCAGCCAUUUCCUAACUAAAGCCCAUGUGGUCUACUGGAUUUAAUAUUCUGCAGAAUGCCUUUGAGAGGAGCACAAGGAAGAGCAAUGGCCAGUCCUUCCAAAUUGUAGAUCCUGGGAGAUAAAUCUGCACAUCAUACCACUCCCAGCCCACAUGAUUGUAACGUGUGCUGUGCUAACAGCUGUGCUGCUACCCCAUCAGUGCACUGGUGAUGAUCUGUCCUGUGGAUGGGUUGAUGGUGAACUGAGAGUUUCCACCGAUGAUCCUAUAACUAAAGCAGAGAGCAGAG